GCCUGGAUAGCUCAGUUGGUUUAGAGCACAGGGCUGAUAAGCAGGUUGCAGGUUCAGACCCUGUAUGGGACA